AUAUAAAUCAGAAUUGUUGUUUAAGAGCUCUCAUGGAAAACAUACAAAAUUAUAAUCUGCAACAUUAUUUGCAGUUUCCAAGAUCUCCUAAAGAUGGAACCAAUAUUUUCCAACUAUCCUCUUCUGUAUAGGGUAUGACAGGUGAAAUGGAUUCCUUAAACCUUUAAAACCAGGGUUUUAAAAUACUGAUUGAAAGAAUGAAAUAUCAGGCUGAUAUUCCCUUUAUUCAUUUUAGAAAACAAAAUCAGUAUCUAAAUAUUUGCAAGGCUGAAUAAAUGGAUUUUUUUUACAUUGAGUCACCUCAGUGCUAGGCCUCAGAACCAUCCAAUACCCUCUUCCACUUUAUAUUUCCCAUAGGAUCACAUAACUUUAACCUUACUAUCCUUUUAUUGGAUACUGAAGACCUGGUUUUUUCCUCCAGGCCUUAGGUUAGGUAGACUAGGGUCACCUGAGUGUGUGCUUUCUACUGGGUAAGUUAUUUCCCUGGUUACCACAUUUGUUUUGUAUUAUAUAAUUGUAUUAUAUAAUAUGUAUGCCACUAGAGUUCUAGUGAGUUGUGUGAUUUAUAAAUGAAUAACACAGAGUGAAAACAAGCUGUAUCUCUUAUAAGCAGCCAUACCUAAUCCUUCCUCUAAUAAAAAAAUCAGAUUACAUUUUAGGGAUGGAGGAUUGGAUUUGACAACUGUACAU